ensembl:lncRNA
AUAUAUAAGUGUAUAAAUAAACGUAAUCUAUUUUUAAUACAAACAAAAAUGUUUCACUCUGAUAACAUUUCUCUAAUGAUAGAAUUGUGUGUUUCAUUGCAGUUUUUUAUAAUCACUUUGCUGCUAAUUUCAGAACCGUGAUGCCAUUUUUCACUUGUUCAAUACGACUCAAUGUAACAUCAAAGUACUAUUUCAAAAUGCAAAUCCUACGUUACAGUCGAAAUGAUCGUCCAUUCAUUUCAUUACAAUGAACUAUCAAGAGAUACAACACCUCUGAACAAUAAGUACUUGCUGCGUGAGCCUCAGUGGAUCGUUCUGUGGAAACUGACCAACAAUAUCGUUUAGAUCGUGAGGUUUCAAAAUAAUGGGACCACCUUUCACACCACGCUGCAGCCCUGGUGAUUACUUGACCAGUUCUGCCAAGACAGCAGGACGUGUGGUCGGGCGCAGGGCCCCGUUGGCUCACGUGAUGCAGCUCUCGUCCCCGAUGAGCUGGACCAGGUCUGUAGAGCCGACGGUGUGAUGAUGUCAUCGUGUGGGACAACGUCAGCUUCCACCAUCUCAAACGGUGCAUGUUUUUAUGCACAAGCAUCUACCAGCCUGUAUUUGCCCCCAUGCGCUCCUUUCCUCAACCCGACUGAGGAGCUCUUCUCCUCAUGGAGGUGAAGGUGUACGACAGGUGUCCUCACCAAACAAGCAACCCGUCUCCAGGCCUGGAUGAGGCACGCAGACCAGCGUCACGCCUGGAUGAAGCAAGCGGUUUGGCUAAAGUCCGUUGGCCGGUUGCACAAGUCCGGGUUGAUGAAAAUGAAGAUGUGUGGUAAUCAAAACCGUUUCCAUCCCAUGUGAGGAACGGCACAGUUUACAUUACACUUUUAUCCAAAGCGACUUACAUUGCAUUUUUAUUUCAUGGCUUCUACAUGUUUUGCCCGGGGAGCAACUAUGGGUCUGGUGUCUUGCUCAGGGACACUUCGACGUGGGACAUAGGGCAGCCGGGGGUCGAACCACCAACCUUGUGCUUCCCAGUGUGAUUCCACUGUGUGUACUAUUCUUUCUACUACAGUAGUACUUCUACAGGGAUGUAUUUACAUGUAGUAUGAUGAAACCUGUACUUUGUACAGCAUAUUGAAUGAUUGUCUCGUGUGCAGGAGAUCUGAACACCAAUGAGAGUGCAGAAGGACAUCAAGGCUCUGGAGGUGGUAUCAAAGUGAUCGUGGUUAACGAUGAACAUAGAACCCAUAAAACCAACGUGAAACCAUCUUCAUCAUAAUGAAUAACUACGAAUAAUAAAGCUCAUCAGACGGUUUAAACAGGUUUAAAAGUGCCUCACCUGCUUUAGUUCACCUGCAGGAAAACACCGUCACACUUCCUGGACUGAUCAGUACGGCAGUGUGUGUGUGUGUGUGUGUGUGUAAGAGUCUGUGUGUGUGUGUGUUCCUGGUUAAACAAUAACCCUCCUUCCCAUCUGUCCCUCACCUUUAUCAGGCAGUAAAACCGACAAACAUCCCUUCAGUGUGUGUGUGUGUGUGUAAGAGUCUGUGUGUGUGUAAGAGUGUGUGUGUGUGUGUGUGUAAGAGUGUGUGUGUGUGCGUGCGUGCGUGUGCGUGUGUGUGUGUAAGAGUGUGUGUGUGUGUAAGAGUCUGUGUGUGUGCGUGUGCGUGCGUGUGUGUGUGUGUGUAAGAGUGUGUGUGUGUGUAAGAGUCUGUGUGUGUGUGUGUGCGUGUGUGUGUGUGUGUAAGAGUCUGUGUGUGUGUGUGUGCGUGUGUGUGUGUAAGAGUGUGCAUGUUGUGAAGUAUUUAUUAAUCAUAAAUAAGAUGAUUUUAUGGAUUUUCAGGAUUUUUUGUUGUUGAAAUGUUCUUUUACCUGUUUUGUCUACAGAUGGAGAAUGAAUCCCUCAAACAUCAACCUCCAACCAUCGUAUCGGGAUAUAGCCUCGUUAGCUUAGCAUCUCGCAGCCUCACAGCUAAAGUCCUCCAAUCAUGAGGUCACACUCAGUCUGUUUAAAAAUACUACUAAUACUACUACUAAUAAUAAUAACAUUACUUGUUACAAAAACACAGGAACGCAAACAUGUUCCACAUGACGGAUGUUUUUAAUCAUUAAAAUGCAGAUUAGUGAUUCAACAAGUUUCCUUCUUUAAGAGGUGGAAUUAAAAAAAACACACAAAAUAUGCAGGGAGCAACUUUAAGAGGAAUAACUUUUAACAAGUGGACAAUUUGAGACGAGUUUCUGCUGACGGCCGGUCGGCAGGAGGAGGAGAAGAAGAAGAAGAAGAAGAAGAAGAAGAAGAAGAAGAAGAAGAAGGAGAAGAAGAAGAAGAGGAGCUUCAUAUGAAGAAGUACAUUUAAAGUGGAACCGGAGGAAGUGACUCCGCUGUUUCCUCUGUUACAGUUUGCAUGACAAACUCUGAUUUUAUCUUAAAUGGUAACACUCACAUCUAAAUAAAGAAAACAAGGAGAAAUUGUUGCUUCUGACGGCAGUUUGGGGGUUUUGCAGACAUGUCUUUUAUUUUGAAAAUCUGAAUAAAUAAUAACAUUGAGAUUCUGUGGAUUCAGACUUUGUGUUGGUCUCAAACCGGACUUCAAAGC